rnacentral:rRNA from 1 species
UACGGGGGGAGCAAGCGUUGUUCGGAUUUACUGGGCGUAAAGGGCGGGUAGGCGGCCACCGCAAGUCAGUUGUGAAAUCUCCGGGCUCAACCCGGAAAGGUCAACUGAUACUGCGGGGCUAGAGUGCAGAAGGGGCAACUGGAAUUCUCGGUGUAGCGGUGAAAUGCGUAGAUAUCGAGAGGAACACCUGCGGCGAAGGCGGGUUGCUGGGCUGACACUGACGCUGAACUGCGAAAGCUAGGGGAGCGAACGGG